rnacentral:rRNA from 1 species
UACGUAGGGAGCAAGCGUUGUCCGGAAUUAUUGGGCGUAAAGAGCGUGUAGGCGGCUUGUUAAGUCUUGCGUGAAAUCUCGGGGCUCAACCCCGAGCGGUCGUGAGAAACUGGCAGGCUAGAGUGCGGGAGAGGAGAGUGGAAUUCCUGGUGUAGCGGUGAAAUGCGCAGAUAUCAGGAAGAACACCCGUGGCGAAGGCGGCUCUCUGGAACGCAACUGACGCUGAGACGCGAAAGCGUGGGGAGCAAACAGG